rnacentral:rRNA from 1 species
AACGAACGCUGGCGGCAGGCUUAACACAUGCAAGUCGAACGCCCCGCAAGGGGAGUGGCAGACGGGUGAGUAACGCGUGGGAACAUACCCUUUUCUACGGAAUAGCUCUGGGAAACUGGAAUUAAUACCGUAUACGCCCUACGGGGGAAAGAUUUAUCGGGGAAGGAUUGGCCCGCGUUGGAUUAGCUAGUUGGUGGGGUAAAGGCCUACCAAGGCGACGAUCCAUAGCUGGUCUGAGAGGAUGAUCAGCCACAUUGGGACUGAGACACGGCCCAAACUCCUACGGGAGGCAGCAGUGGGGAAUAUUGGACAAUGGGCGCAAGCCUGAUCCAGCCAUGCUGCGUGAGUGAUGAAGGCCUUAGGGUUGUAAAGCUCUUUCACCGAUGAAGAUAAUGACGGUAGUCGGAGAAGAAGCCCCGGCUAACUUCGUG